UGGGGAAUAUUGCACAAUGGCCGCAAGCCUGAUGCAGCCAUGCCGCGUGUAUGAAGAAGGCCUUCGGGUUGUAAAGUACUUUCAGUCGGGAGGAAGGUGUCAAGGUUAAUAACCUUGGCAAUUGACGUUACCGACAGAAGAAGCACCGGCUAACUCCGUGCCAGCAGCCGCGGUAAUACGGAGGGUGCAAGCGUUAAUCGGAAUUACUGGGCGUAAAGCGCACGCAGGCGGUUGAUUGAGUCAGAUGUGAAAUCCCCGGGCUUAACCCGGGAAUUGCAUCUGAUACUGGUCAGCUAGAGUCUUGUAGAGGGGGGUAGAAUUCCAGGUGUAGCGGUGAAAUGCGUAGAGAUCUGGAGGAAUACCGGUGGCGAAGGCGGCCCCCUGGACAAAGACUGACGCUCAGGUGCGAAAGCGUGGGGGGCAAACAGG
rnacentral:rRNA from 1 species